rnacentral:rRNA from 1 species
UACGUAGGGUGCAAGCGUUGUCCGGAAUUAUUGGGCGUAAAGAGCCCGUAGGCGGUCUGUCGCGUCUGCUGUGAAAACCUAGGGCUUAACUCUGGGCGUGCAGUGGGUACGGGCAGGCUAGAGUGCGGUAGGGGAGACUGGAAUUCCUGGUGUAGCGGUGAAAUGCGCAGAUAUCAGGAGGAACACCGGUGGCGAAGGCGGGUCUCUGGGCCGUAACUGACGCUGAGGAGCGAAAGCAUGGGGAGCGAACAGG